GAUGAACGCUGGCGGCGUGCCUAAUACAUGCAAGUCGAGCGAACGGACGAGAAGCUUGCUUCUCUGAUGUUAGCGGCGGACGGGUGAGUAACACGUGGAUAACCUACCUAUAAGACUGGGAUAACUUCGGGAAACCGGAGCUAAUACCGGAUAAUAUUUUGAACCGCAUGGUUCAAAAGUGAAAGACGGUCUUGCUGUCACUUAUAGAUGGAUCCGCGCUGCAUUAGCUAGUUGGUAAGGUAACGGCUUACCAAGGCAACGAUGCAUAGCCGACCUGAGAGGGGGAUCGCCCACACUGGACCUGAGACACGUCCCAAACUCUAAGGGGAGCCAGCAGUAGGAAAUCUUCCGAAAUGGGCGAAACCCUGAGGGAGAAACGCGGCGGGAGUGAUGAAGGCUUUCGAAUCGUAAAACUCUGUUAUAAGGAAAGAAAAAAUGUGUAAGUAACGGUGAACACUUGGACGGUACUAAUCAGAAAGCCACGGCUAACUACGUG
rnacentral:rRNA from 1 species